UGCCCCUCGGAGGCAGGUGGCAGCAGAGGACCGCGUCCAGGCCGAAGGACAGCGGGGCUGGCUGCCGUGGGCAAAGAAACGUGUCGGGGACCUGGGUUAGCAGCCCUGCAAAACAGGCAGCCGCUGAUGGCGGGGAUCCGAUGGCCGGUUGUAAGACCCCAUUCCAGGAAGGGUUCUUUCCCCUACCCAGAAGGAAAGAAUGCUGCACAGAGAGGCUGAAAAGAAUCCAGACAGGCCUUGUUGGGCUUCCCCACUCAGUCUAUGAGCAUUAGAUCAUGCCCUUCUUGUCCAGUCCUAUUUCUACUCAGCUGUGCAUAUUUUGUUGAGCCUAAGCAUAAAAAUAGUUUUCCCUGUAACUUUGGGUCUUAAUUCUGAAGGUUCCUUUGUCAUGUAAAAGCAUAACCGAAUAAAUUUGUAUCACUUUUCUCCUA